AUAAGAUCUUGACCAACCCCGCGAUAAAUGAGAUAAUCUAGGGCCUUUACUGCCAUUUUAAAAAAUACUUUUGUUGGAUGGACCCUAAGUGUCCCAUAUCCUAUGAUUCACACUUGUUGAUAGGUAGAAAGACUGAGGCUUUGCAGAGUGUCUCAGAAGCGUAGAGGAAAAAAUUCUUGAAUUCCAUGGCCUUGAUCAUGCCUAUAUUUUAGGUUCAUUCAAUCAUGUCAGAAGAUUUCCCAAAAAUCAAUCUCAAUGAAGAGGGUGUUGAAAUCAAGGAAACAUUUGAGGGAAUUCCAUAACUUUUUCCCCUUCAAGUAAUAUCACAGACAACAUGCACUCAUUUUCCUCCUUUGCAUCAAUCAUGUGAAAAUCCCUACAAACUAAUGAAUGGAUUUCCAAUGAUUUGUCAAUAAUCCAUUUCUAUAAAAGGGCACAUUCAUCAUUAGACACAUAGAAGUUGGAUAAACCCAACAACCUUCCAUCCAGAGUCAACAAAAUUGAAACCCAUUUUUGAGUUGUUGGUGCCUCAUCCUAUAAUUGACGACAACGUUAGGAAAUCCGGAGACGUCAUCGGGGGCCCCAGGAAGAGUUAUCUUUUUUUUUAACAGCUUGCCCACCCUGAAAAGCAUCUCAACCAGAGAUAGGGUCCAGCAGCUGGAAGAGAAUCGCACAUCUUGCGGUGUCCGGUGUGCCCUCAACGGCCCUUGAAAAUCUGGAGGACCAAGUACCGUCCAUGCUCAGUCAUACUCAUAAUCGCAUCAGGUCUCCAAGGUGAACAACCUCUGGUCAAUAGAACAAUGUAGGUAAGGGAAGUCGGAAAAAUGGAUCUGUAACUUCGAGAAAAGGAUUGGCUCUAAGGGCUGGGCCUAGGGGUCUACGUUGUCAAUUCGUGGGUUGUCUACAGUCUGCUCGAGAUGCUAUCGCGGUGAGGGCGGGUAGUCACGUGUCAAUUGGGCUACGGACAUAGGAUGUCCCCUCGCAAGGAAUUUUUCACUAGGUAGCGAAUAGUCAACACAUAACUGGUACGGACAAGGGGAAUGAGAUUGUUUAAUUAAAACAAAGCAUUGUGAUGGUCCCUGCAGAUGCUGACACAAUGUGAUUUAUGCGCAGUUCUCUGAAUGUCAAAGUGAAUAAAUUCAACCAAGCGUGGGUAAACAAAUAGAGACUUCAAUCCUUAGAAUCCUUGAGUUCACAGCGAGGAUCAAUAUUAGGAAGGAUAGAGACUUGGAGAAGU
rnacentral:ncRNA from 1 species